GGUUAUGGCUCAGAGGUAGAACACUCGUCUCGAAUAUGUGAGGCCCUGGGUUCAAUCCUCAGCACCA
rnacentral:tRNA from 1 species